AGCGAACGCUGGCGGCAGGCCUAACACAUGCAAGUCGAACGGACCCUUCGGGGUUAGUGGCGGACGGGUGAGUAACACGUGGGAACGUGCCUUUAGGUUCGGAAUAGCUCCUGGAAACGGGUGGUAAUGCCGAAUGUGCCCUUCGGGGGAAAGAUUUAUCGCCUUUAGAGCGGCCCGCGUCUGAUUAGCUAGUUGGUGAGGUAAUGGCUCACCAAGGCGACGAUCAGUAGCUGGUCUGAGAGGAUGACCAGCCACAUUGGGACUGAGACACGGCCCAGACUCCUACGGGAGGCAGCAGUGGGGAAUCUUGCGCAAUGGGCGAAAGCCUGACGCAGCCAUGCCGCGUGAAUGAUGAAGGUCUUAGGAUUGUAAAAUUCUUUUACCAGGGACGAUGAUGACGGUACCCGGAGAAGAAGCUCCGGCUAACUUCGUGCCAGCCGCCGCCGUAAGAC
rnacentral:rRNA from 1 species